rnacentral:rRNA from 1 species
CAAGUCUCCUGAAGGAACGUUGAAGACGACGACGUUGAUAGGCCGGGUGUGUAAGCGCAGCGAUGCGUUGAGCUAACCGGUACUAAUGAACCGUGAGGCUUAACCUUACAACGCCGAAGGUGUUU